AGAUCAUUUUGAGGGCAAUUUCUUAGUAACCCUUUAUAACACUCCCAUGCCUCAUAAAGUGAUUCACCCGGAUUUUGCUUAAAGUUCGCUAUUGCCAUCUUGAGUUU